GUGAGGAAUAUUGGUCAAUGGGCGAGAGCCUGAACCAGCCAAGUCGCGUGAAGGAAGAAGGAUCUAUGGUUCGUAAACUUCUUUUGCAGGGGAAUAAAGUGCAGGACGUGUCCUGUUUUGUAUGUACCCUGAGAAUAAGGAUCGGCUAACUCCGUGCCAGCAGCCGCGGUAAUACGGAGGAUCCGAGCGUUAUCCGGAUUUAUUGGGUUUAAAGGGUGAGUAGGUGGUUUGAUAAGUCAGCGGUGAAAGUUUGCAGCUUAACUGUGAAAAUGCCGUUGAAACUGUCGUACUUGAGUGUAAAUGAGGUAGGCGGAAUGCGUGGUGUAGCUGUGAAAUACAUAGAUAUCACGCAGAACUCCGAUUGCGAAGGCAGCUUACUAAGCUACAACUGACACUGAAGCACGAAAGCGUGGGGAUCAAACAGGAUUAGAAACCCUGGUAGUCC
rnacentral:rRNA from 1 species